AGCAGCCGCGGUAAUUCCAGCUCCAAUAGCGUAUAUUAAAGUUGUUGCAGUUAAAAAGCUCGUAGUUGAAUUUCGGGAUCAGUACGCUGGUCGUGCCUUUGGUAUGUACUGGUGUCACUGAUUCCUCCCUUCUGAAGAACCGUUAUGCCAUUUAUUUGGUGUGGCGGGAAAUCAGGACUGUUACUUUGAAAAAUUAGAGUGUUUAAAGCAGGCUCGCGCUUGAAUACAUUAGCAUGGAAUAAUGAAAUAGGACGUUUGAUCUUAUUUUGUUGGUUUCUAGGAUCGACGUAAUGAUUAAUAGGGAUAGUUGGGGGCAUUAGUAUUCAAUUGUCAGAGGUGAAAUUCUUGGAUUUAUUGAAGACUAACUACUGCGAAAGCAUUUGCCAAGGAUGUUUUCAUUAAUCAAGAACGAAAGUUAGGGGAUCGAAGACGAUCAGAUACCGUCGUAGUCUUAACCAUAAAACUAUGCCGACUAGGGAUCGGAUGAUGUUAAUUUUAAU
rnacentral:rRNA from 1 species